rnacentral:rRNA from 1 species
GACGAACGCUGGCGGCGUGCUUAACACAUGCAAGUCGAACGGAAAGGCCCUGCUUUUGUGGGGUGCUCGAGUGGCGAACGGGUGAGUAACACGUGAGUAACCUGCCCUUGACUUUGGGAUAACUUCAGGAAACUGGGGCUAAUACCGGAUAGGAGCUCCUGCUGCAUGGUGGGGGUUGGAAAGUUUCGGCGGUUGGGGAUGGACUCGCGGCUUAUCAGCUUGUUGGUGGGGUAGUGGCUUACCAAGGCUUUGACGGGUAGCCGGCCUGAGAGGGUGACCGGCCACCAUGGGAAUGAAAUACGGCCCAGGCUCCUACGGGAAGCAGCAGUGGGGAAUAUUGGCCCAUGGGCGGAAACCUGAUGCAGCAACCCCGCGUGCGGGAUGAAGGCCUUCGGGUUGUAAACCGCUUUCGCCUGUGACGAAGCGUUGGUGGCGGUAAUGGGUAAAGAAGCACCGGCUAACUACGU